rnacentral:rRNA from 1 species
ACUGCGUGGCUACUACGCCGGCCGGUGAAUGGCUCGGCUCGGAAGCCGAUGAAGGACGUGCCAAGCUGCGAUAAGCCUGAGGGACCCGCACGGAGGGGAAGAACUCAGGAUUUCCUAAUGGGAAUCCCCAUCGCAAUUGCUGUGCGCAAUGGGGAACGCCGGGAACUGAAACAUCUUAGUACCGGUAGGAACAGAAAGCAAUCGCGAUGUCGUCAGUAACCGCGGGUGAAAUCGACAUAGCCCAAACCGAAGCCUUCUGGGCAAUGUGGUGUUCGGGCUGGCUUUCAUCACCAGAACGUUCAUGUGAAGUCCCUUGGAAUAGGGCGCGAGACAGGGUGAAAGCCCCGUAUCAUGGACAAGUACGGUGUGCGCCAGUACCAGAGUAGCAGGGGUUGGAUAUCCCUUGUGAACAAAGCAGGCAUCGACUGCUAAGGCUAAAUACUACCCGAGACCGAUAGUGAACAAGUAACGUGAGUGAACGCUGAAAAGCACCCCAAGAAGGGAGGUGCAAUAGGGCCUGAAAUCGGUCGGUUAUAGAGCGUCGGGGCACAAAAGGCUCCAUGGAAAACGAUCUGGGGGCGACCCCACAGUAGGAUCUGUGGAGAGCCGGUGUCCCGUCGUACGUUUUGAAAAACGGACCAGGGAGUGUGUUGACUUGGCGAGUCUAACCGGGUUAUCCGGGAAGGCAUAGGGAAACCGACAUGGCCGCAGCCUUAUGGCGAGGGCCGCCGUGCUCAAGCGCGGGGAGUCAAGUCGACACGACCCGAAUCCGGACGAUCUAUGCGUGGGCAGGGUGAAGCAUGGCGAAAGCUAUGUGGAGGCCCGCUAGGGUUGGUGUCUUACAAUACCCUCCCGUGACUCGCGCAUAGGGGUGAAAGGCCCAUCGAGUCCGGCAACAGCUGGUUCCAGUCGAAACAUGUCGAAGCAUGACCUCCGUCGAGGUAGUCUGUGGGGUAGAGCUACUGAUUAGCGGCCCUGACUCCGAGAGGAGUCAGACCGCUUGUCAAACUCCGAACCCACAGACGCUGUUGACGCGGGGAAUCCGGUGUGCGGGGUAAGCCUGUGCACCAGGAGGGGGACAACCCAGAGUUGGGUUAAGGUCCCAAAGUGCGAGCUAAGUGUGAUCUUAAAGGUGGUCCCGAGCCCUAGACAGCCGGGAGGUGAGCUUAGAAGCAGCUACCCUCUAAGAAAAGCGUAACAGCUUACCGGCCGAGGUUCGGGGCGCCCAAAAUGAUCGGGGCUCAAGCUCGCCACCGAUACCCAACCGCGCCCGUGAAACGGCGAUUGAGUAGACUGGCGCUCCGGUCGGAUGGAAGCUCGGGCGAGAGCUCGCGUGGACCGACCGGAAACGAAAAUCCUGGUCAUAGUAGCAGCGUUAGUCGGGUUGAAAUCUCGACGGCCGUAAGGGCAAGGGUUCCUCGGCAAUGUUUAUCAGCCGAGGGUUAGCCGGUCCUAAGUCCUCUCGUAACUCGCGGGGGACAAUGGGAAACAGGUUAAUAUUCCUGUGCCUCCGUCCACUCAAAGCCGACGUCCUGGGGUAUGCCAAGCCGGGCAAUCGCCCGGUCGAAGCGUCCAACGUCGUGGAAGCCGUAAUGGCACGAAGCGACCGAAUGACGUGAUCGGGCAACUUGGCGCAACCCAGGACCCGUGAAAAGGCGAGGACGGUGACCGUACCCAGAACCGACACAGGUGCCCUGGCGGAGAAAGCCAAGGCCUGUCGGGAGCAACCAACGUUAGGGAAUUCGGCAAGUUGGUCCCGUAAGUUCGCGAUAAGGGAUGCCUGCCCCGCAACGGGGCAGGUCGCAGUGACUAGGACGCUCCGACUGUCUAAUAAAAACAUAGGUGGUCGCAAAUCCGCAAGGACUUGUACGGCCACUGAAUCCUGCCCAGUGCGGGUAUCUGAACACCCAUUACAAUGGGGCGAAGGACCCGUUAACGGCGGGGGUAACUAUGACCCUCUUAAGGUAGCGUAGUACCUUGCCGCUUCAGUAGCGGCUUGCAUGAAUGGAUUAACGAGAGCGUCACUGUCCCAACGUUGGGCCCGGUGAACUGUACGUUCCAGUGCGGAGUCUGGAGACCCCCAGGGGGAAGCGAAGACCCUAUGGAGCUUUACUGCAGGCUGUCGCUGGGACACGGUCGCUAGUGUGCAGAAUAGGUAGGAGCCAUUACACAGGUGCGUGCGCCAGCACGUCGCCGAGGCAACCUUGAAAUACUACCCGCUAGUGACUGUGACCCUAACUCCGGGAGGAGGACACCGGUAGCCGGGCAGUUUGGCUGGGGCGGCACGCGCUUGAAAAGAUAUCGAGCGCGCCCCAAGAUCACCUCAGCCGGGACAGAGAUCCGGCGAAGAGUGCAAGAGCAAAAGGUGGUCUGACAGUGUCCUACACAGCGAGGGACGCUGACGCGAAAGCGUGGUCUAGCGAACCAAUGAGGCUCCUCAAUGGGGCCCAUUGAUGACAGAAAAGCUACCCUAGGGAUAACAGAGUCGUCACCCGCAAGAGCUCAUAUCGACCGGGUGGCUUGCUACCUCGAUGUCGGUUCCCUCCAUCCUGCCCGUGCAGAAGCGGGCAAGGGUGAGGUUGUUCGCCUAUUAAAGGAGGUCGUGAGCUGGGUUUAGACCGUCGUGAGACAGGUCGGCUGCUAUCUACUGGGGGUGUCAUGGUACCUGACGGGAACGAUCGUAUAGUACGAGAGGAACUACGAUCGGCUGCCACUGGUGUACCGGUCGUCCGACAGGGCGAGUGCCGGGCAGCUACGCAGCAUGGGGUAAAGGCUGAAAGCAUCUAAGCCUGAAACCCUCCUGGAAAAGAGGUACCGCUAAGACCACCCGUAUAAGACGGGUUCGAUAGACUCGGGGUGUGCGCGCCAAGGUAACGAGGCGUUCAGCCCGCGAGCACUAACAGGUCAAAGUCACCUUAU